UUAUGGCCAUAUCACAUUGAAACACUGGUUCCCGUACGAUCACAGAGGUGAAGCAACGUCUUGCUUGGCCAGUACCUAGAUGGGUGACUGCUUGAGAAUACCAGGAGCUGUAAGC
rnacentral:rRNA from 1 species